GCUAAGAAUAUUCCGCAAUGGACGAAAGUCUGACGGAGCGACGCCGCGUGGAUGAAGAAGGCCGAAAGGUUGUAAAGUUCUUUUGUUGGGGAAGAAUAACCAUGGGAGGGAAUGCCCGUGGGAUGACAUGAACCGACGAAUAAGCCCCGGCUAACUACGUGCCAGCAGCCGCGGUAACACGUAGGGGGCGAGCGUUGUUCGGAAUUACUGGGCGUAAAGGGCAUGUAGGCGGUCUUGUAAGCUUGGCGUGAAAGACCACGGAUCAACCGGGGGAUUGCGUUGAGAACUGCGAGGCUUGAGUGACGGAGAGGGAGCUAGAAUUCCUGGUGUAGGGGUGGAAUCGGUAGAGAUCAGGAAGAAUACCAAUGGCGAAGGCAAGCUCCUGGCCGAUGACUGACGCUGAGGUGCGAAAGUGUGGGGAUCAAACAGGAUUAGAAACCCCUGUAGUCC
rnacentral:rRNA from 1 species